rnacentral:snoRNA from 1 species
UCCAGCUGUAGGCAAAAGCCUAGGUUGCCUUGUACCUAGGCAAUUGUUACACAGCUGGGAGAAAAGCAGCCAAUAGCUGAUGGGCAUCCUGGUCCUGGUUAAUGUCAAAUUUGUGUUAACUAUACCUGUGUGCCAGCAUA